GCUACGCGGGCCACGCUGCUGGCUGGCCUGACCUAGGCGCGCGGGGUCGGGCGGCCGCGCGGGCGGGCUGAGUGAGCAAGACAAGACACUCAAGAAGAGCGAGCUGCGCCUGGGUCCCGGCCAGGCUUGCACGCAGAGGCGGGCGGCAGACGGUGCCCGGCGGAAUCUCCUGAGCUCCGCCGCCCAGCUCUGGUGCCAGCGCCCAGUGGCCGCCGCUUCGAAAGUGACUGGUGCCUCGCCGCCUCCUCUCGGUGCGGGACCAUGAAGCUGCUGCCGUCGGUGGUGCUGAAGCUCUUUCUGGCUGCAGUUCUCUCGGCACUGGUGACUGGCGAGAGCCUGGAGCGGCUUCGGAGAGGGCUAGCUGCUGGAACCAGCAACCCGGACCCUCCCACUGUAUCCACGGACCAGCUGCUACCCCUAGGAGGCGGCCGGGACCGGAAAGUCCGUGACUUGCAAGAGGCAGAUCUGGACCUUUUGAGAGUCACUUUAUCCUCCAAGCCACAAGCACUGGCCACACCAAACAAGGAGGAGCACG
rnacentral:lncRNA from 1 species